CCUACGGGAGGCAGCAGUGAGGAAUAUUGGUCAAUGGCCGGAAGGCUGAACCAGUCAUGCCGCGUGAAGGUCAGUGCCCUAUGGGCGUUUAACUUAUUUUGUUCGGGGGCAAUAAUGGUCACGUGUGGCCAGACGAGAGUUCCGUACGAAUAAACAUCGGCUAAAUCCGUGCCAGCCGCCGCGGUAAUACGGAGGAUCCGAGCGUUAUUCGGAUUUUUUGGGUUUAAAGGGGGCUGAGAUGGGUUGUUAAGUCAGUUGUGAAAGUUUGCGGGUCAACCGUAAAAGUGCAAUUGAUACUGGCAGUCUGGAGUACAGUUGAGGUAGGCGGAAGUCGUGGUGUAGCGGUGAAAUGCUUAGAUAUCACGAAGAACUCCGAUUGCGAAGGCAGCGUACUAAACUGCCACUGACAUUGAUGCUCGAAAGUGUGGGUAUCAAACAGGAUUAGAUACCCGAGUAGUC
rnacentral:rRNA from 1 species